rnacentral:rRNA from 1 species
AGAGUUUGAUCAUGGCUCAGAAUGAACGCUGGCGGCGUGCUUAACACAUGCAAGUCGCACGAGAACGCUUCAGCUUGCUGAAGUUAGUAAAGUGGCGCACGGGUGAGUAACGCGUGGGUAAUCUCCCCCCGAAUUUGGGAUAACAUCGCGAAAGCGAUGCUAAUACCGGAUAAUAUCUUAAAAACCUCGGUUUUAAAGAUCAAAGGUGGCCUCUACAUGUAAGCUUCUGUUUGGGGAUGAGCCCGCGUACCAUUAGCUUGUUGGUAGGGUAAUGGCCUACCAAGGCUGCGAUGGUUAGCUGGUCUGAGAGGAUGAUCAGCCACACUGGAACUGACACACGGUCCAGACUCCUACGGGAGGCAGCAGUGAGGAAUUUUGCGCAAUGGGGGAAACCCUGACGCAGCAACGCCGCGUAAGUGAUGAAGGCUUUCGGGUCGUAAAGCUCUGUCAAGUGGGAAGAACCCACAUGGUGAUAAUACCGCCAUGUGUUGACGGUACCACUGAAGGAAGCACCGGCUAACUCCGUGCCAGCAGCCGCGGUAAUACGGGGGGUGCAAGCGUUAUUCGGAAUUACUGGGCGUAAAGAGCGCGUAGGCGGUCUCUUAAGUCGGGUGUGAAAGCCCGGGGCUCAACCCCGGAAGUGCACUCGAAACUAUGGGACUUGAGUAUGGGAGAGGGAAGUGGAAUUCCUGGUGUAGCGGUGAAAUGCGUAGAUAUCAGGAGGAACAUCGGUGGCGAAGGCGACUUCCUGGACCAAUACUGACGCUGGGGCGCGAAGGCGUGGGGAGCAAACAGGAUUAGAUACCCUGGUAGUCCACGCCGUAAACGAUG